GUGGUAUAAAAACUUAAUAUGGAGAGUAUUCGUGUGCUUAAGGUAAAACUAAAUAAAUAUUGUGGGGCAACUUGACAGAAUGCAUCCAGUAAUAUUAGAUAGCAAGCACAAAGUAUACUCACAAUAUACGUGGAGUAUGCAGAAGUUUAAAUCCACCAUUUUUCUGCGGGAAGACAUCCUCAAGAAAGUAGUAGAUAUGUCCACAUGCUAUUCCUGUGGAGCGGUUUAUUACUAGUAUUAUGACUGGGUAAGGUUUAAAAUUUAAGGGACGGAAGGGAGCAUUCGUACUGUGCCGUUAGAGGUGAAAUUCUUGGAUCGGUACAAGACAAACGUCUACAAAAGCAUUUGCCCAGAGUAUUUCCUUUUAUUAAGAGUGAAAGCCAGAGGUUUGAAUUAAGCAACAAAAUAGUCUUUGUCUUAAACAAGGGAGUGUCUA
rfam:Ciona savignyi cont_13900, whole genome shotgun sequence.